CGACCCUCCGCACAAAGAUGCUCUCUCUCUCUCUCCUCAUCUCUAUUUAAGCUUAUAUGACUCUACCUCAGACGACUCAUCACUCAAUGCGGUUCACCGGAAACGUGUCAUGGAAAAGGAAUCCACACCUCAUCCUGGUCGACAAAGUGCACGAGCUGAUUCACAAGUUUUCUCUGAAUGGCAGCCGUGGGGCGGGUCUUCAUCCUCAGCAGCUCUGGGAUUGGUCGACUGCUGCCCUGGUAAAAGUCCAGUCCUGUGAUCCACUCCACGUCUCGGACCCUUGAUUGGUGGAACCACAUGUGAUCUUCCACCCAAUGAGAUUCGUCCUCUGCAUUCUGUCAGGAAAGAUGUUGUUUUAAUUAUAUUAAACCAGAUGAUAACAGUUAUUAGGAAGAAGUUUAAAGUCACUUCACCAGUUGUUUUACUUCUAUGUAUUUUCAUGUGAUGGUAAAUUUCUCAAUAAUUCCUGAAUGAAAACAAAGUGCUGUUUAUUAUGGUGUGAGAGGAGUCACUGAGUGCUCCUCACCCUGCAGCUCUCCGAGUUGCUGCUGGCGUGCGGCAGCAGGAAGGAGACGCUCUGCAGCCGCCCGGUGCAGCUGCUCACCGGCUGGGCCGAGUCUCCACAGCUCGUCAGCACCGCAAAGAAAUGAGUGGGGAUGGAGAUGUUGGUUCCAGACACAAACCUGCAUCAAACACAGAGGAAGGAUAAUUCAUCGUCAUCAGAGAAAACAGCUCCUGAAGCUCACGUAACCUCGUGAACACGUCAGGAACACGUCAGGAACACGUCAGGAACACGUCAGGAACACGUCAGGAACACGUCGGGACUUCAGUGCAGCUCUGAGAACCUCUUGUGACGCACGGAUCCCUGUGACUGACUGAAACCCAAGUGAAGUCAGAGUCUUGAAAGGAAACUCACUGCUGGAUCUGCUCUGGAGAGUCGAACCGGCCGUCGUAGUUGUAAUCGAACACGGGGCCGGUGACCACGUUGAUGCCGUUGUACACGUCAGCGUAUUUCAUCAACAAGCUGCUGUGGAAGUAGUUCCAGAUCUCUGUCACAGGAGGAGGAGGAGGACGAGAAAAUGUGUCUUCCCAGUUCCUGUUCAGAGGAAGACAGAAAGACACUCACUGAGUUUGUCCAGAACCGGGAUGAGAGACCCCCACGUCUGCAGGUCUUUUAAAAAGCUGUGGUCAAUAGAAGUGGAUGGAAACAGAAAACAACGGAGACGUCUCACUGUGCUGGACAUGUGGGGGUCGACAGGUCGUCACACUCCUCCUGCAGCCAGGUUUUGUCUCCUGCAGCAGAACAACAACAACACACACAACACUUACACUGAAAGUUCAGGAUCCAGCUGUGGAAUUAACGUUUAUCAAAACGAUAGAAAGUGUGAGUGCAGGUAACCAGGUGUUUGUGUGUGAGCGCUUUGAGGGUUUAGAGAAAGAAUCCGUUAAUGGACUGAAGCGUGAACCUGGUUCUUCCCUGGGAUCGAACGGACUCACACUGGGUCUACUGGUUAGUGUGGCUCACCGU